ACCUUCAUCGUGUAACGGUAGCACGCUCGGCUUGUAUUCGAGAGGACCUGGUUCGAGUCCCGGAAAAGGCA
rnacentral:tRNA from 1 species